CCUACGGGAGGCAGCAGUAGGGAAUCUUUCACAAUGGGCGAAAGCCUGAUGGAGCAACGCCGCGUGCAGGAUGAAGGCCUUCGGGUUGUAAACUGCUUUUAUAAGCGAGAAAUAUGAUGGUAACUUAUGAAUAAGGAUCGGCUAACUACGUUCCAGCAGCCGCGGUCAUACGUAGGAUCCGAGCAUUAUCCGGAGUGACUGGGUGUAAAGAGUUGCGUAGGUGGCAUAAUAAGUAGCUAGUGAAAUCUGGUGGCUUAACCAUUCAGACUAUUAGCUAAACUGUUAAGCUCGAGACCGUUAGGGGUAACUGGAAUUUCUAGUGUAGGAGUGAAAUCCGUAGAUAUUAGAAGGAACACCAAUAGCGUAGGCAGGUUGCUGGGACGGUUCUGACACUAAGGCACGAAAGCGUAGGGAGCAAACGGGAUUAGAUACCCCUGUAGUC
rnacentral:rRNA from 1 species